rnacentral:tRNA from 1 species
GGGCUCGUAGCUCAACGGUAGAGCGCCCGCUUUGCAAGCGGGAGGCUUCGGGUUCAAAUCCCGACGGGUCCA